UCAGCUCUAUUCUAUGGUUAUUCUGAAAAGCACUUUGUAACUUUAUUUUGAAACUCAAAAUGUUGUUAUUUUUAUAAAAAAGUAGUAUAGCUCCCCCCGCAGCCCUCCCUGUGGAGGAUAAAGCGGUUGAAAAUGGAUGGCUGGAAGGAUGACAUUGGUGCCGACAAGAUCCGUGUUUAUACCAGAAAAAGGUCCUAAUGAGACCGGCCCCCUCUUGACCAGACUAGAUGCUCAUCGGCCCCCAGGACAUUUGAGUUUUAUACACCUGUCAUAAAAUGUCUGUGCCAAAUUCUUCCAAGCAUGACCAAACCAAAAUCUGUUUGGCAGAGAAAGAAUGUGCUGGAGAGCUUGAUGAGCAUGACUUCAUAGAUGCUUUUGCCAUGAACUACAAGAAUAGACUGGACAUCAGCUGGUUCUGAUGGUGAUGAUGACCUGUCAGGGUCUGAGUGUGAAGGCAAGAUGUCUUCCAGUUUUGAUCCAGCAGGGG